rnacentral:rRNA from 1 species
UGGAUGAUGUGGAUUAAUUCGAUGCAACGCGAAAACCUUACCUACCUUGACAUGUCCGGAAUCCCGAAGAGAUUUGGGAGUGCUCGCAAGAGAGCCGGAACACAGGUGCUGCAUGGCUGUCGUCAGCUCGUGUCGUGAGAUGUUGGGUUAAGUCCCGCAACGAGCGCAACCCUUGUCAUUAGUUGCCAUCAUUUGGUUGGGCACUCUAAUGAGACUGCCGGUGACAAACCGGAGGAAGGUGGGGAUGACGUCAAGUCCUCAUGGCCCUUAUGGGUAGGGCUUCACACGUCAUACAAUGGUCGGUACAGAGGGUUGCCAACCCGCGAGGGGGAGCUAAUCCCACAAAGCCGAUCGUAGUCCGGAUCGCAGUCUGCAACUCGACUGCGUGAAGUCGGAAUCGCUAGUAAUCGUGGAUCAGCAUGUCACGGUGAAUACGUUCCCGGGUCUU